ACCGCUCACCGCCCUCGCCGCGGUAGCAAAAGCCUCCGCUCGCCGCUCGCCGCUCGCCGCUCGCCGCCCACUGCCGAUUCGAAAUCCCAAACCGGAAACCAUCCUAGGCUCCCCGCGCAGCCUGCGCAGCGGCAACGGAGGGCGUGGAGUGCGAGAGCGCAUAUGCAGGGGUUUGGCUGGCUUCAACCGCGCGCGCGGAGCGGCCGCGGCACGCGCAGCCGCGCCUCCAGCCCCGGUCGCCGGCCUCCCGCUCUCCAGGAUAAUACCAGUGGGUGGAGGAGAGCUGUUGAGGACUUGAGGCUGGACUGGAGCUCGAGAAGGAGAAACAUGGCCUUUUGUACCCAUUUGCAACUGGGGUCAAUAGUUUAAGCUCCGGCCUCAUACCAAGGGAAGGCUGCUGCGCAAGGUAUUGUCUGUGGGACCACAAAAUAUACGGCCAAGUUAAAUCUAGCAAUUCUACAGUUGGAUGUCCAGUUGACAUCGUGCAUGACUUUUCAUAGUCAAUGGCAAAAUUUAUUUCGUGGGCUGUUUGUGCGAGGGCCUUUACGUCACUUAGGGAAGAAUCUAUACUCCUGCGAGCUGAUGAAACACCUGCAGAUAGGAGAUUUGUCAAUAGAUCAUUCUUCAGGGGCAUGGAUGUAACAAUCCUAGCACAAAAAACGUUGCUGUACUGCGCCCACGCUACCCGCCAUCCGUGGUGCCCAGCAGUACCCACUAGGCAGGACCAGGACUCCAGGAGAGACUCGAUCCAGCCGCCUCCAACUCUCCAAGCCUCAGGGACACCGGCCAGCGGGGGAUCCACCUAUGGCCACUCAGAGGCAGCCAUGAGGGAACUGCAGCCGUGGGGCCCACGUGGGGAGGACCAACCAUGGGUCGACACACCGGGGAAGACGAGGACGCACGCUUCUCUUCUUUCGCGACAGUGUCAUGUGGAUGGUAGUGAAACGAAGUGGCUGCCGCAGCCUGCCAUUGGAGGAGAGCAGUAUCGGAUGAUGGGAAAAGGUACCUGUACGAGUAAUGGAUAAUGUCUUCCAUCCCAUCGCGGCAGGUCCUCCUCCUUUGGACAGUUGAGGGUGACAUUUUCUUCAAAGAAACAAGGAGAGGAACUAGCAACAGCCAGCGACCGGCAGAGACAACCAUCAUCAAUGCUUGGACGUAGGACAACUGCGGGGCAGGGUACUAGCACCAGCAGUACUACUUAAAUCUUGCCAGGCUGCAGCACUGGGAGGUAAGAACAAGAGCAUCAUGAUAAGCUAGGAAAUGCACCGUGAAGGCGUUAUUAAUAUCCAGAUAACUAAGGGCGAUGUGAUAUGAUUCGAGUUGAUGGAUGCUUUAGAAAAGUUACUACGCGACAUGUGUAAUUCCUUUCGACUCGACAGGGGGGAGAGGUAAAUUUUCUCGUUCAGCUUUCUUUUUCUGAGUUGUUUGGCAGUCACUCUGUUGGCUAACCGUGUGUUUUUAGUAACUAUAUGGUUUGAUGAUAACAACUCCAGUCAUUCUGGUGGAUCGAAUGAUGUGAUCACAGAGCCCUGUCACCACCCUGUAAAUUAAUGUCUCCAUUUUGUAUUUCUUUAAAACAAACUAUAUAUCUAUGUAUAAUUUUUACUUGAGUAUAAAAAGAAGUGAUGAGACAUUUUUCUAACAAGACUUAACCAUUACACAUUCUUAAUUCAUUGUAGAUUGGUUGUAUGCACAAUUGCCUUCACAAUUUUUUUACCAUGUUUUCGUUUGUUAUUUCCUUUAUCUUAGAGCAGAAUCAGCAUAUGAUAGUAUGUUAAUUUGAUAUAUAUACGCCCGGUUCAAAUAAAAUCUUUCCAAUGAACGGAGGAACAUGUGGUCAAAGCAGUCUGAAUUUUGGUGUCAUCUAGAGCACCAUUGAAAAUUUUUAUUUUAUGUGGGCAUAUCAUAGUGCACAUUUAGCUUGUAUAUCCAUUUAAUAAUCAUGUGAGAUAAAGGAAGUUUUUGCUUAUACCUCAGCAAUGCAAGUUCAGAUAAAUCAAUGGCCCCUAUAAAUGUGCAUUCCUUUCUCUAGUAUCUGUUUUAACAGCUUGUAAUUGAUCUGCACAAGCAUCUACUACUACAUCUCGACUUCAUAUUACGUGGCAGGAGUAGGGGUUGUUCGACCUCCCAAAUAAAUAUAACUAAGACAUGAAAUAAAAAUAAUUAGACCUAACAUUUCCUUUUUCAGCUGUGUGCUCAUCCUUCUAUAUAUCCACAUAUAUAUGUGGCCUCCUGAUCAGUGAUCCUGAUCAACACUACCUUUCUGGGAGACCGUAAACAAUUUUCCUAGCCAUAAUGGAAACCGUACAAGUGGAACCGCAUGCAUGCAGAAAACAGUAAGCUUUGCAUGUACAUUUGUAGACAGAUGCAAAUUAGAAAUAUAUGCUUCCAAGUGGAUGCGUGAUUGUGGCACUAAUACUGAAUUUAUAGCCUUGCUUAUCAUGGAGUGAUAAUGCUAUUAGAGACGACUUAAGACCUUGUUAUUAUUUCACAACUCUGUCUCCUUUUAGUAUGCAAAAAUAGACAAACUAGCCAAAUACCUGCUCCCUCUAAUUAUUUCUACUAUAACAUAUAAAUCCUCAUACAGUGUGAUUAUAUAGAAAAAUUGGAACUAGGAAAAAUGAAAUCCCAAAUGAAAUGUGCAGUUUUGAGAAACUCUUGUGGAAAUAGGCACAGGAUAUUGUGUUGUGUAGAUGUCCAUGGCUUACAUUGGAAUAAGCAUUGUAUAGGAAAGUAAAUUAGUUUCAUUGCACUUUCUGGCAUGGCCAAUGAGGCUGGCAUGUUAGACCUAAUUAAUUAACGGUAUCUGUUCUAUUUUACUACCUUUGUACCUCACGAACCUCCUCUUUCUCAUGGUCGAAUUUUCUACCUUAGAACCGUUAUUGGAGAUAUUUUGAUAUUUUAUACAUUUACAUUCCCUUUCAAUUAUAAGUAUCCUUCUAGGUACAAUAAUACAGUAGUCACAGUCUUAACUUAAUCUGACGUGUUAUAAACCAGCAGGGUUCACAAUUUUUCAUUUUACAUAGAGAAACACUAUAUGAUGCCUGUGUUUCUCCUUCGGAGAACAUCCGAGGUUUUUCUCUCCCUCCCUUUUCACCAUGCAUCUUCUCCAACUUCGACGAGAUCGAGCUUCUCCGGUAGGGGUUAGGUAGGGAUUCUGGAGUUAGGGUUGGGGAUUUGGGGGCUUAUUAAUUGUUGGGAGUUUAGAGAGAGGGCCAAGGGAGGAUGGUUGGCUUGAUAACGUAGACGCUGUUGUUAGGUGGGGGUUGCCGCUGGCCUGCAGGGUGGUGGAGGAUUGGAGUACGUUGGGAGGCUCAUGCAGCGGAAACUCACUUUAAUAGGUUAGAUCAACCGAUCAAGUGGUGUGAGCCAGAGAUGGGUACGGUGGAGCAAGAACAUGCAUGAGAGAAGGAUGAAGAGAAUCCACAGCCCUUGGAUUUAUAUUAAGGGGUUCAAAAUUCGAGUGCAGAGAGAUGGCGAAGGAAUCCAAUAUUUGCUUUUGCUUGUGGGAGGACUAUAUUUUUCUGGCAUGUAGCUUAUUAAUUGUGUUUUUCAUAUUGGUCUAAGACGAUAUGGUUUGAAUGCACGAACUCCCACAGAAACCGGAAAAUCACGUGACCACUUAGUGAGUGUGACUUGCUAGUAAGGGUACCCUUUAGAUAUUUAUUGCGUGAUGGAAAGUUUUUUUUUUCUUUCAUAUAAUAACUUAAAUUAAGUUAAACCCUGGAUAAUUCUUGAUGAACUGUUAAGCAACUAUUGUAUACACCAUUCGGGCUCCGCGCAUCAGAACUCCCCUUCUCUCUCAAGCGAACAUCUGUGGCUCGGUUUAUUUUAUGAAAAAACGCUUUCUUACUUUAAUAUUUUUAAACAGUCUGUUACUCGAAAACUUUUGCUGUAGGUCAUUUUAUAGCAUCGUAUAUCAGUCCAAGCACCUUCAAAUCAGAUUUGUUACAUAUAUUAUUACUACUACUACAGCUAAUACUUUCCCUUUUGUUCUCUAUAUUUUUCUCUAGAAUGGUUUCAUCUCUAGCCACCUCAACUUGCAUAGGAUUGUGAACUUUGUUGUUGUUGGCACGCGCGCGCAUGCAAGAGAGAUAUAUUCCCACUAUUAACUCAUAAUUUUGGCAAGAUAUUCUAUAUUAAAUCAUUUUAAGAUCAUUUUUAACCAGUUUUUUUUUAUCACUAACGAAAGUGACAGUCAUCCAUAUACCUCCACUGCUCCACAUCUUUUCUUGCUCGAUGCAAGCAAAGUCUAUUAACAGCUAGCAAAUCUACCAUGUAAAUCAGUAAAUGUGGUCUGAAAUAUCGAAUUUAUAUAUGUGCAUGUGUGAGAUAAGAACUGCGAAGUAAGCUAUCCAGAAGUUCUUGAUUUUAUAUAUUCUUGACUGUCAGAAUUUGGCCGGUAUAGAGUAAUGGAAAAUAGAGACCAAAUGAUCACUGAUACAGGCUUGGUAAUUUUAUAAAUUGCUAAGUUUUGAGGUUUUUUGCUUAACAUGCUGUGACCUUUUCAACUGGCUAUGAUAGUGGCACAGUGUCAAGUCACAGCCUCUCUGAAAAAAAGACGAAGGACUCAUACGUCAGAUCACUGUUGAGGUUUUCAAAUUCAUUAUCUUGCCAUGCAUGUCACUUGUAGGAAAGAGGUGACAGUACAGUUGCCGCCCACCCCAGUUCCUGAACCAUGUACAUGCAUGUGACAGUCAUGCAUCAGAGAAGGAUCGGAUAUGGUGCAGACGUAUCAUGCAUGUGACGGAGACUCGUCGAGGAUGAGUAAAACGAUUGCAAUAGUCAUUGCAGUUUUCUGCGGCCCAACUGCAAAUGUGAGUGGGCCAACUGAUCCACUAAAAAACUUGGGGCGAUGCCCGGAGCAACGCCAGCCGAAAAGGAUUUGUGUCCAAGAAAGUUCAAUUUUUUCUUUGCUUGCGAGGAAAAUUUCGAUUGAGUUGAGCCGCAAGAAAAAUUGAGGUUCAACGAUCGUCUUCACUGUAAAAAUGAAAUUUGAGGAAUAAUUUGACGCAUGGGCA